rnacentral:rRNA from 1 species
UACGUAGGGGGCUAGCGUUGUCCGGAAUCAUUGGGCGUAAAGAGCGUGUAGGCGGCCCGGUAAGUCAGCUGUGAAAGUCGGGGGCUCAACCCUCGAAUGCCGGUGGAUACUGUCGGGCUAGAGUGCGGAAGAGGCGAGUGGAAUUCCUGGUGUAGCGGUGAAAUGCGCAGAUAUCAGGAGGAACACCGAUUGCGAAGGCAGCUCGCUGGGACGUAACUGACGCUGAGACGCGAAAGCGUGGGGAGCAAACAGG